rnacentral:rRNA from 1 species
UGGGGAAUUUUGGACAAUGGGGGAAACCCUGAUCCAGCCAUCCCGCGUGUGCGAUGAAGGCCUUCGGGUUGUAAAGCACUUUUGGCAGGAAAGAAACGUCAUGGGUUAAUACCCCGUGAAACUGACGGUACCUGCAGAAUAAGCACCGGCUAACUACGUGCCAGCAGCCGCGGUAAUACGUAGGGUGCAAGCGUUAAUCGGAAUUACUGGGCGUAAAGCGUGCGCAGGCGGUUCGGAAAGAAAGAUGUGAAAUCCCAGAGCUCAACUUUGGAACUGCAUUUUUAACUACCGGGCUAGAGUGUGUCAGAGGGAGGUGGAAUUCCGCGUGUAGCAGUGAAAUGCGUAGAUAUGCGGAGGAACACCGAUGUCGAAGGCAGCCUCCUGGGAUAACACUGACGCUCAUGCACGAAAGCGUGGGGAGCAAACAGG